rnacentral:tRNA from 1 species
GGGCCCGUGGCCUAGCUUGGAGGGGCGGCGGCCUCCGGAGCCGCAGGUCCCGGGUUCAAGUCCCGGCGGGCCCGCCA